GUCCCCAACAGAAUCGCUAUUGGGGUACUACCUGGUGUAGCUGUGAGAAAAGGGUCACCAUCCUCCUGACUCCAGAAUAGCAGAUCCACCAACAACUUGCACCAUGCACCUGGAAAAGCCACAGAAACUCAAUGCCAGCCUAUGAAAGCAGCUGGGAUGGGUACUGUAUCCCGUAAAUCAACAAACAUGGAGCUGCCCAAGGCUAUGGGAGUCUACCUCUUGCAACAGUGUGACCUGGAUGUGAGUCAUGGAGUCAAAGGAGAUCAUUUUGGAACAUUAAGGUCUAAUGCCUGCCCUAUUGGACUUCAGACUUGCAUAAGUCCUAUAGCCCCUUUGUUUUGGCCAAUUUCUUCCAUUUGGAAUGGAUAUAUUUACCCAAUGCCUUUCCUGCAUUGCAUCUAGAAAGUAACAAGAUUUGAUUUUACAGGCCAACAGGUGGAAGGGACUUGCCUUGUCUCAGAUGAGACUUUGGAUUUGGACUUUUGAGUUAAUGCUAGAAUUAGUUAAGAUUUGAGGGGACUGUUGGAAAGGCUCGAUUGUGUUUUGGAAAUGUGAGGACAUGAGAUUUGGGAGGGGCCAGGGUGGAAGGAUAUGGUUUGGCUUUGUCCCCAACAAAAUCACAUCUUACAUUGUAGUUCCCAUGAUCUCCACAUGUUGGGAGGAACUGGUGGGAAGUAAUUGAACCAUGAAGGCAGUUUUUCCAAUGCUAUUCUUAUGAUAGUAAGUUUUCACAUGAUCUAGCAGUUUUAUACAGUGCUUCCUCCUUCACUUGACUCUCAUUCUUCACUCUCCUGCCACCUUGUGAAAAAGGACAUGUUUGUUUCCCCUUUUGCCAUGACUGCAAGUUUUCUGAGGCCUCCCCAGCCCUGCAGAACUCUAAAGACCGGGUUCUUUGUCCCAUUGGCCACAAAAAUUCAGGCUCACAGACAAUUUGAAUGCUUGCAUCCCAGACUCCACACAGAAGAAAAGGAGCCGGGAUCCUCCCCAGUCUACCAUGGUGCACAUGCUCAUCUCCUCUGGGAGUUUUUCGGGGGGAACCCCCUCCCUCAUGACUGUCUCAGUAAAAGAGUUACUACAAGAGAAAGUUGCAGAGGAGAAAGUAACACCAAGCUUAAUAUUAAGAAAUGA
rnacentral:lncRNA from 1 species